rnacentral:rRNA from 1 species
GACGUAGGGCGCGAGCGUUGUCCGGAUUUAUUGGGCGUAAAGAGCUCGUAGGCGGCUUGUUGCGUCAGCUGUGAAAACCCGCAGCUCAACUGUGGGCUUGCAGCUGAUACGGGCAGGCUUGAGUUCGGUAGGGGAGACUGGAAUUCCUGGUGUAGCGGUGAAAUGCGCAGAUAUCGGAAGGAACGCCGGUGGCGAAAGCGGCUCACUGGACCAUAACUGACGCUGA